rnacentral:rRNA from 1 species
AGCUCCAAUAGCGUAUAUUAAAGUUGUUGCAGUUAAAAAGCUCGUAGUUGGAUAUCUGGUGGGAGCAAUGGGUCUCGCACUCUGUGCGGGUACUUCAAUUGACUCCGGCCAUCCUUGGGGAGAGCCUGUGUGGCAUUAGGUUGUCGUGCAGGGGAUCCCCAUCGUUUACUGUGAAAAAAUUAGAGUGUUCAAAGCAGGCUUAUGCCGUUGAAUAUAUUAGCAUGGAAUAAUAAGAUAGGACUCCGGUACUAUUUUGUUGGUUUGCGCGCCGAAGUAAUGAUUAAUAGGAACAGUCGGGGGUAUUCAUAUUCCGUUGUCAGAGGUGAAAUUCUUGGAUUUACGGAAGAUGAACUACUGCGAAAGCAUUUACCAAGGAUGUUUUCAUUAAUCAAGAACGAAA